UUUGGUUAAGUUAGAAAGGGCGCACGGUGGAUGCCUUGACACUAGGAGUCGAUGAAGGACGGGACUAACGCCGAUAUGCUUCGGGGAGCUGUAAGUAAGCUUUGAUCCGAAGAUUUCCGAAUGGGGAAACCCACCAUACGUAAUGGUAUGGUAUCCUUAUCUGAAUACAUAGGGUAAGGAAGACAGACCCAGGGAACUGAAACAUCUAAGUACCUGGAGGAAGAGAAAGCAAAUGCGAUUUCCUGAGUAGCGGCGAGCGAAACGGAACAUAGCCCAAACCAAGAGGCUUGCCUCUUGGGGUUGUAGGACAUUCUAUACGGAGUUACAAAGGAACGAGGUAGACGAAGCGACCUGGAAAGGUCCGUCGUAGAGGGUAACAACCCCGUAGUCGAAACUUCGUUCUCUCUUGAAUGUAUCCUGAGUACGGCGGAACACGUGAAAUUCCGUCGGAAUCUGGGAGGACCAUCUCCCAAGGCUAAAUACUCCCUAGUGAUCGAUAGUGAACCAGUACCGUGAGGGAAAGGUGAAAAGCACCCCGGAAGGGGAGUGAAAGAGAUCCUGAAACCGUGUGCCUACAAAUAGUCAGAGCCCGUUAACGGGUGAUGGCGUGCCUUUUGUAGAAUGAACCGGCGAGUUACGAUCCCGUGCGAGGUUAAGCUGAAGAGGCGGAGCCGCAGCGAAAGCGAGUCUGAAUAGGGCGUUUAGUACGUGGUCGUAGACCCGAAACCAGGUGAUCUACCCAUGUCCAGGGUGAAGUUCAGGUAACACUGAAUGGAGGCCCGAACCCACGCACGUUGAAAAGUGCGGGGAUGAGGUGUGGGUAGCGGAGAAAUUCCAAUCGAACCUGGAGAUAGCUGGUUCUCCCCGAAAUAGCUUUAGGGCUAGCCUUAAGUGUAAGAGUCUUGGAGGUAGAGCACUGAUUGGACUAGGGGUCCUCAUCGGAUUACCGAAUUCAGUCAAACUCCGAAUGCCAAUGACUUAUCCUUAGGAGUCAGACUGCGAGUGAUAAGAUCCGUAGUCAAAAGGGAAACAGCCCAGACCGCCAGCUAAGGUCCCAAAGUGUGUAUUAAGUGGAAAAGGAUGUGGAGUUGCUUAGACAACUAGGAUGUUGGCUUAGAAGCAGCCACCAUUUAAAGAGUGCGUAAUAGCUCACUAGUCGAGUGACUCUGCGCCGAAAAUGUACCGGGGCUAAAUACACCACCGAAGCUGCGGAUUGAUACCGAAUGGUAUCAGUGGUAGGGGAGCGUUCUAAGGACAGUGAAGUCAGACCGUAAGGACUGGUGGAGUGCUUAGAAGUGAGAAUGCCGGUAUGAGUAGCGAAAGACGGGUGAGAAUCCCGUCCACCGAAUGCCUAAGGUUUCCUGAGGAAGGCUCGUCCGCUCAGGGUUAGUCAGGACCUAAGCCGAGGCCGACAGGCGUAGGCGAUGGACAACAGGUUGAUAUUCCUGUACCACCUCUUUAUCGUUUGAGCAAUGGAGGGACGCAGAAGGAUAGAAGAAGCGUGCGAUUGGUUGUGCACGUCCAAGCAGUUAGGCUGAUAAGUAGGCAAAUCCGCUUAUCGUGAAGGCUGAGCUGUGAUGGGGAAGCUCCUUAUGGAGCGAAGUCUUUGAUUCCCCGCUGCCAAGAAAAGCUUCUAGCGAGAUAAAAGGUGCCUGUACCGCAAACCGACACAGGUAGGCGAGGAGAGAAUCCUAAGGUGUGCGAGAUAACUCUGGUUAAGGAACUCGGCAAAAUGACCCCGUAACUUCGGGAGAAGGGGUGCUUUCUUAACGGAAAGCCGCAGUGAAUAGGCCCAAGCGACUGUUUAGCAAAAACACAGCUCUCUGCGAAGCCGUAAGGCGAAGUAUAGGGGGUGACACCUGCCCGGUGCUGGAAGGUUAAGGAGAGGGGUUAGCGUAAGCGAAGCUCUGAACUGAAGCCCCAGUAAACGGCGGCCGUAACUAUAACGGUCCUAAGGUAGCGAAAUUCCUUGUCGGGUAAGUUCCGACCCGCACGAAAGGUGUAACGAUUUGGGCACUGUCUCAACCAGAGACUCGGUGAAAUUAUAGUACCUGUGAAGAUGCAGGUUACCCGCGACAGGACGGAAAGACCCCGUGGAGCUUUACUGUAGCCUGAUAUUGAAUUUUGGUACAGUUUGUACAGGAUAGGCGGGAGCCAUUGAAACCGGAGCGCUAGCUUCGGUGGAGGCGCUGGUGGGAUACCGCCCUGACUGUAUUGAAAUUCUAACCUACGGGUCUUAUCGACCCGGGAGACAGUGUCAGGUGGGCAGUUUGACUGGGGCGGUCGCCUCCUAAAGUGUAACGGAGGCGCCCAAAGGUUCCCUCAGAAUGGUUGGAAAUCAUUCGUAGAGUGCAAAGGCAUAAGGGAGCUUGACUGCGAGACCUACAAGUCGAGCAGGGACGAAAGUCGGGCUUAGUGAUCCGGUGGUUCCGCAUGGAAGGGCCAUCGCUCAACGGAUAAAAGCUACCCCGGGGAUAACAGGCUUAUCUCCCCCAAGAGUCCACAUCGACGGGGAGGUUUGGCACCUCGAUGUCGGCUCAUCGCAUCCUGGGGCUGUAGUCGGUCCCAAGGGUUGGGCUGUUCGCCCAUUAAAGCGGUACGCGAGCUGGGUUCAGAACGUCGUGAGACAGUUCGGUCCCUAUCCGUCGUGGGCGUAGGAAAUUUGAGAGGAGCUGUCCUUAGUACGAGAGGACCGGGAUGGACGCACCGCUGGUGUACCAGUUGUUCUGCCAAGGGCAUAGCUGGGUAGCUAUGUGCGGAAGGGAUAAGUGCUGAAAGCAUCUAAGCAUGAAGCCCCCCUCAAGAUGAGAUUUCCCAUAGCGUAAGCUAGUAAGAUCCCUGAAAGAUGAUCAGGUUGAUAGGUUCGAGGUGGAAGCAUGGUGACAUGUGGAGCUGACGAAUACUAAUAGAUCGAGGACUUAACCAUAUAA
rnacentral:rRNA from 1 species